UACGUAGGUGGCAAGCGUUACUCGGAAUCACUAGGCGUAAAGCGCAGGUAGGCGGUUCGGUAAGUCUCUUGUGAAAGCUCCCGGCUUAACUGGGAGAGGUCAAGGGAAACUGUCGGGCUAGAGUGUGGCAGAGGAUGCUGGAAUUCCCGGUGGUAGCGGUGAAAUGCGUAGAUAUCGGGGAGGAACACCUAUGGCGAAAGCAGGCAUCUGGGCCAUCACUGACGCUGAGCUGCGAAAGCUAGGGGAGCAAACAGG
rnacentral:rRNA from 1 species